UACGUAGGGCGCGAGCGUUGUCCGGAUUUAUUGGGCGUAAAGAGCUCGUAGGCGGCUUGUCGCGUCGACUGUGAAAACCCGUGGCUCAACCAUGUGGUCUGCAGUCGAUACGGGCAGGCUAGAUUUCGGUAGGGGAGACUGGAAUUCCUGGUGUAGCGGUGAAAUGCGCAGAUAUCAGGAGGAACACCGGUGGCGAAGGCGGGUCUCUGGGCCGAUAUUGACGCUGAGGAGCGAAAGCGUGGGGAGCGAACAGG
rnacentral:rRNA from 1 species